UCACUCAUCUGCAGAACAAAGAGCACAACUCUCCAGCUCACGAUCAAAAGGAGCUGAUCUUCAGAUCCCCCUUUUCGCUGUCUUUCAGGCUUCAAACGUCUCACAAAGGAGGGCGGUGGUUGCCGGGAAGGAGGGGUUGCCUGCAUGCUGUUGGGGCAGCUGCCUGCAAGACAGCGUGCCUGAUGCCUUGCUGUCUGACUCGUGUCUGCCUGGUCGCCUUUCGUCUGUGCUUGGCUGGCUGCAUUCUGUAAGGGUGACGGCACGUUGAGUCAGCAUGGACUUUCCAGACUUCUCCUGGCGGCCUCACUGAAACUCACGAAGGCUUUCCUGGAAAACAAACACAGCUUUAGACUAUCUCCCAAAGAAAAGAUGUCCAAACUGACAGGUGUGCAGAAAUACACUGUAUUGCCAGAAGUAUUUGGCCACCCAUCCAGAUGAUCAGAAUCAGGUGUCCUAAUCAAUUGGCCCCGGCCACAUGGAUGACAGAGUCUGGAGUGGAUGACCUUGACUGGCCUGCACAGAGUCCUGACCUGAACCCGAUAGAACACCUUUGGGAUGAAUUAGAACGGAGACUGAGAGCCAGGCCUUCUCGACCAACAUCAUUGUGUGACCUCACCAAUGCGCUUUUGGAAGAAUGGUGGAACAUUUCUAUAAACACUCCCCGCAACCUUGUGGAAAGCCUUCCCAGAAGAGUUGAAGCUGUAAUAGCUGCAAAAGGUGGACCGACAUCAUAAUGAACCCUACGGUGUCACGAUCUGUCACUUCAUUUGUUUGUUUUCCUUGUUUUUGUAUUUACUUCCUAUCAGUGCUCUUAUUUUGGUUUCCACUUCCUGCUUUUUCCGCUGAGCACUGUUUGUUCACUCACCUGCUGUUGAUUGGCAGCUGGUCCACACCUGCGGCCAAUUAACAUGUAUCCUAUUUAUGCUUUGUCUAAAGUACUCCUCAUUGCUCAAAGAUCACUUUAUGUUGGAACUGUUUCAUGCAAGACUGCUUUCUCCUCUGUUGAUGAUAAUUAAAAUCAUCUUACCUGCUCA